rnacentral:rRNA from 1 species
GACGAACGCUGGCGGCGUGCCUAAUACAUGCAAGUCGAACGCAGUGGGGACGGGUGAGUAACACGUGGGUAACCUCUGAUCAAAGGGGAAAACACUUGGAAACAGGUGCUAAACCGACACUGAUGGAGGAACCCGCGGUGAAUUAGCUAGUUGGUGAGGGAACGGCUCACCAAGGCCACGAUGCAUAGCCGACCUGAGAGGUUGAUCGGCCACACUGGGACUGAGACACGGCCCAGAAUCCGACGGGAGGCAGCAGUAGGGAAUCUUCGGCAAUGGACGAAAGUCUGACCGAGCAACGCCGCGUGAGUGAAGAAGGUUUUCGGAUCGUAAAACUCUGUUGUUAGAGAAGCGGUAUCUAACCAGAAAGCCACGGCUAACUACGUGCCAGCAGCCGCGGUAAUAC